rnacentral:rRNA from 1 species
AUUGAACGCUGGCGGCAUGCCUUACACAUGCAAGUCGAACGGCAGCACGGGAGCAAUCCUGGUGGCGAGUGGCGAACGGGUGAGUACUAUAUCGGAACGUGCCCAGUCGUGGGGGAUAACGCAGCGCAAGCUGUGCUAAUACCGCAUACGAUCUAAGGAUGAAAGCGGGGGAUCGCAAGACCUCGCGCGAUUGGAGCGGCAGAUAUCAGAUUAGCUAGUUGGUGGGGUAAAGGCCCACCAAGGCGACGAGCUGUAGCUGGUCUGAGAGGACGACCAGCCACACUGGAACUGAGACACGGUCCAGACUCCUACGGGAGGCAGCAGUGGGGAAUUUUGGACAAUGGGCGCAAGCCUGAUCCAGCAAUGCCGCGUGCAGGAUGAAGGCCUUCGGGUUGUAAACUGCUUUUGUACGGAACGAAACGGCCCUUUCUAAUACAGGGGGCUAAUGACGGUACCGUAAGAAUAAGCACCGGCUAACUACGUGCCAGCAGCCGCAGUAAGAC